GCGAGGGCGCGGGGCGUCGUGCAUCCCUUCUUCUAUGUGUUUCUCUUGGCCUAAUGCUCUCGAUCGAGACUAGGUGUUGAUAAUGUAUUGAGAGAAGAAGUAGCGAGACAACAAAUGAAUCCACUAGUUUCAUUGUAAUGUGGGAGACCCACUUAUAUACAAGAUGAAGGGGUGUGUUGGGGAGACACCUUUACCCCAAGAGACACCUUAUGGGAGGCAUCCCUCCCAUACAAUUGAUCACAUGUAUUAUUUUUCAACAAUUUGGUUGACUGUUUGCUCUUCCGAUCCCACUUCUAUUUAAGGGAAAAGACCGGCCACCCCUUGGUCAUUAGCUCUUCCCUUCCAUCUUUGCUUUGUAAUAGAUGCAUCUAAUGCCAGUUUUAUUUACAUAUCUCAUCCUCCUGUUUGUAAUCGAGCCGUCAUCGUAGCUCCGAGGUGCGCAGCCACAUCACCACGCCAAGAUGCAGCUCGAUCCUGCGCCUCCUCCCUGGUGCCCUGCAUCAACUUCUCCCAGC
rnacentral:lncRNA from 1 species